AACGGCCUGGCGACGGUUUCCCUGCUGCUGCAGCCCCCGUCGGCUCCUCUUUUCCAGUCCUCCCUGCCGGGGCUGGGCCCGGCCGCGGGAAGGACCGAAGGGGAUACAGCGUGUCCCUACGGCGGCUGCAAGAGGACUAAGCAUGGAUGGCAGCCGGAGAGUCAGAGCAACCUCUGUCCUUCCCAGAUAUGGUCCACCGUGCCUAUUUAAAGGACACUUGAGCACCAAAAGUAAUGCUUUUUGCACUGACUCCUCUUCUCUCAGACUAAGCACUCUCCAGCUGGUCAAGAAUCACAUGGCUGUUCACUAUAAUAAAAUCCUUUCAGCCAAAGCUGCAGUAGACUGCUCAGUUCCAGUAAGCAUGAGUACCAGCAUAAAGUGUCUGCCGUAGUUUGCUGGAGGUCCACUCCAGACCCUGUUUGCCUAGGUAUCACCAGCGGAGGCUGCAGAACAGCAAAGAUUGCUGCCUGUUUUUCCUUCAGGAAGCUUCGUCCCAGAGG
rnacentral:sRNA from 1 species